ACAGGUAAGCUUCAUACAUUAAUUUUUAAAUAAUAUAUUUAGAGGACUCUGCUUUAACACUUAGGAUAAUGAUUUGUUAAAGUGUUAAAAAGCGAAUACAUGUAUAUUGAACAUUACGUUUAUUAAACUAAUUAUGAAAAGAAUGUGGUACAACAUGUGUUUAGUUUUUUUAUUGAUAUUUCAGAGAUUUCAUAUGUGAGGUAAUCUUGCUGGGAGUGAAGGCAGUGCUUAUGACCACUUGAUAUGAGAGACACAUCCUGUUUUUAAAGGUGGAUCAUGAGUGAAGCUCUGCAGGUCGGCCAUUGACUUGAUAACAGUGGUUUAUUUUUAUUCAAUUUAUGAAUAAAUCUCUCGCCAACCAUUCACCUAUUUACUGACAAAACAGAUCCAAGUCUUGUUCAGCCUGAUGCUCAACCUUGUAUGAUGAUGACCACAGCCAGGUGAUGGAGAUCUGUGUUAAUCACAGCCUGCGUCUUAAGAUCAACAUGACAAUAGCGGCAAUCUUUUAUCUUACUCUUAUCUGACUAAACAUUGGAUGGAGUAUGUACUGUACAAUGACCCAGCAAACAAAAUAAUAUGGACUUUUUUGGCGAGAUUCUAACAUUGACACAUUAAUUUUUACAGUUAGUAAUGUAUUAUUAACAUCCCAUUCAUUUGUAUUCUAUGCCAUCUAUCUGUUUGUGCUAAAGUGUUUACAUCUGAAUGUAAUGUCAUAAUAUGUUAAUAUUCAGUAUUUAUUAUCAUUUGCAUGUUUUGAUGUUGCAUUUGUCAUGAUUUUAUUAAUUUCAUGUUAUUGUUGUCUAUUUAGAAUGAUUG